AUGGAGAGAUUAAGCCCUUUCAACGCAUAUCUGCAUUUCUCCUGUGCGAAGUUUCAAGACGACAAAACGAGGCUGAAAAACCAUUUUGACGGGGUGUGGAAGAACACUGAGGACAAAGGCUGUCUCUGGAGACAAGAGCGGAAGACAAACGGGCCCGUAAUGCCCUCGUGUUGACCCUGAAGGGAGAAGAAGCGUGUGAAUAGAAGCAACUCUUGGCUCUGAUUGGAUGAGCACUUGCGCGGGCAGUUAGCGUCUACACGUGAAAGAGACUUGUUAAGUGUUCUGUUGAUAUGUAGUGGGAUGGAACUUGGAAAUGUAUGGAAGGGAUGUGACAACCUGCAGUGAAGUAUUUGGAUCGUUCACGCAUCUGUGUCCGCGCCUUCAGACGCUGCAGUCUUCUGAAUAAUGGCUGAAACAUAGUUACACUGGUCCCUUGUCCUUCCUAGUGCUCGCACCCUUCUGUUGGGAACCGCGGGUGGCAUGCUUUCAAAUUAACGAUAUGCAUUCGUUGCAAGGGACUCCGCUCCUCCAUACUGUAAGACUUUCCAUCACAGGCCCAUGAAAGCCUCUUCAGUUGUUAAUCUCCUUUGGCCUACUCUGGGUGUUAAUCAUUUAGGAAGGUGUACAUCUUUGUACAGUUGGCUUAUGGCCAAACUCCUUUUCUAUAGAUCAGUGGUACCCACAAUCACAGAGACUAUUUAAUACUCAGUUUGAAGUUAUACAAAUGCAGCAUAAGGAGCUGAGUAUCAUAUGUACCUAUGGACAAGUGCUGCAUCACUGUUGAUUGUUAGAGGUAAAGGAUUACCACCAUAAAUUGCUUAAUUACAACAAAACUGUGUUCCUUCCCCAAAAUAAAUUACUCACCAAGUGUCUGCAAUUGACCGUGUAUUCAAUUUUAUUAAUCUAAGUAGUGCACAAGUUGAGAUGACAAAAGAGAAAAUAAAAAAUACUUUAUAAGGCAUACUCAGUACUCUCAUUGAUUAAUGUACACUGUUUAAUAAAAUUACAGCUACAAACUAUGAUUUUUUAAAAUUUUUUGGGGGGAAAUUUAUAACAUCUUACAUAUGAAGGAAGGAUUCAAAUGCUAUGUUUUUAUAUAAAUACUAAUUCAAAUUCCAAAAGUAGUGUAUAUGGGAUAUAGCACAUAAUCAACAUUUAAUUGGGAUAAAUACAUUCAGGACAUUGUGUUUUAAUGCAUACUUAUCAUAAGAUAAAAAGAAAAUGAAUGUCUAAAUUUCACAUUGUUAUUACCUUUUGUUUUUUUCUGCCAGUAAUCAGCUCAAUGUUGGCAAAAACAUACAUUUUCACUUUCUGAAUUUAAAAUGGAGAGUUUUUCUUCCCUACUCAGGUUAUGAUU
rnacentral:lncRNA from 7 species